rnacentral:lncRNA from 1 species
CCGAAUUUCACACUGAGUUUUCCUUGCACCUCCAAGUUCAAAUUACAACUCGGGCUAUUUAUACAUCUGGUAAAACAAGAAUAAUUAAUUUCACUUUUUCUUUCACUGAUGACCAAUUAUAUUAAGUUAAAGAGACUAAACUUUUAGAAAUCACUCUCAUCUACAUCUUGGUUAAUUAAAUUCCUUCAAAUAUGUAAAACUGCAGUUAUAAAUUUAAUGUAUUCCAUUUUCUUUUGAACUGCUUCAAAUGCCUAUCCUAAACAGCAAAGCCUUUCCAAGUACUUAAAACAACUGUAAUAAAUCUAAUAAAUUAAACCUAUAAAUAGUGUGAUUCUCAGUUCACUUAAACAUUCCAAUACUGUUUAUAAAUUUAAUCAAAUUUUUGUACUUAAUUUAAAUCACAAGUCUAAAGUCAAUUACUUAAUUACACAUUUAAAAUUGAAGUCACAAGGCUAGCCUGUCUUUGUGCUCACACAUCCAAUCCCCUCAUUACAGUCAAAGCCAGGCACAAGGAGAGUUCCUCAGGGAUUUUAAAUGUAUUCCUAAACUACAAAAAAAGUAUGAAUAUGAUGUUUUGAUUGACUUUAACAACUCCAUGCUUAAUUCUAAACUUUCCUAGGACUAGAAAUACAGUUUACCCAUUGAGGGAACAAUUUCAUCAUUCCCCAAAACCUGGGUUGUCUUCUCAAGGUGUUGAAAUCACUUAUUAU